GAGAAACAAUGCAUUUUAUCAUAGGGCCGGACAGCUAUAUGCACAAGAUGCUACCUGCAGAGAUUGGUUUUUGCCCAGAUGUGCAGGAGAGAUGCACAGAGAGGAAGAAAUGCAUACAUGUGUGCAGGUUUUGGCGUGUGCACAAGAAGCCUGGAAGGAUUUUCUUUGGAUCUACAGUCAAAAUGGAUUUCCGAGAGGAAGCUGUCUGAAAACACACCUCUUCCCUGUGCUACAUACGGUCCCAUCUCUGCCAGCCAGGUUGUCAGGAAAGUGAUCAGCACUGGCUUCAACUCUGGCUAGAGCUCUUUGGCCAAUGUGAUGGGCAGAAAACUGGAAUGAGGACAGAAAAGCACCUCAGAGGUUUGAAGAGUCUAGUCUCUCACCACCUUGCUGUAGGUUUUCUGAAUACUUCUGAGUUUAGGAGCAUUUUUUCUCAACAGGCAAGUCAGGAGCUGCUAAGAUAAACCAUGGCAGUAAGCUCGAGCCAGUGUUCGUAUUUGCCAUUGAUCGGCCACCAAGUGCUUGCUAUGUGCCAUGCAUUGUGCUAAGCACUAUCUCAUUUAAUAUUUACAGCAAUCUUAUGAGGUAGAUGCUACUGUUAUCUCCAUUUUACAGAUGGGGAAACUGAGGCACAGAGUUCCACAGCUGGUAACUUGAGGAAUAGGAAUUCAACCACUGGAGAGUCUGGCUGGAGUUUUUUGUGGUAGGAGAAAAUAUGCUGUCUAAAUUUGCCUUGGGAAACCAUCAUGGUGGUCACAAAACCACUUCUACGGCUUGCCUUGACCUAGCAGGAAUGAAGAUGUAAAGAAAGAAUGAGCGCGUCAUGGUUAUGAUGGGAUGAUGAUGUCUGUUGUGUUGUUUGGUGUCAGUUUCUGUAACGCCUUUCUAUUUCAAUCAAGGCUAUUAUCUUUUCCUCUGUUUUAGUGAAGUUUCCUUGAAGUAGAAAAUGGGAGUGUAUUGGGCAUCUCAGAGUUUUCAGCUGAACUGAAGGGUCUGAUGGUAACUUUACCCCCAAAUCUCUGAGAGAAAAGCAGGGAGUCCCUGCUUCAGCUCUGCUCAGAAGAGCCUCCCUCACAUGGUGGUUUCUGUGUCACUAGACUGGUUAACCAAAUGGUUCUUCUAAAUACCCAACUUUUAAUAGAAACUCCUGCGGCUUGGAUUAUUAAAGUCCUAACAUGCUUAUUUAAUCGUGUUUCAAGUCCAUCUAUCUUUUUUGAGUCUAAGGAAGACUCACUAGGUCAGAAGGAGUAGAGGGAAGAGGAUUAAUACAUGAUUUUCUUUUUCCCCUUUUUCUUUUAACUUAGGCUGAGACUUAUUUGAAUGCCUGUUUCAUAUGGAGCUUUUAAGUGUAACAGUUGUGAGUGAAAUUGCCCCUUUUCAAGCGCUCCGAGUUUGCUUCUGCAUGGAAGGGGAAGAUGGACUAGAGCUGAUACCUCCUGCACCCUGGUGAAGAAAUGCACCCUGAGGCCAGAAAAUAGUACAAACCCAUCUGGCUGCAACAGUCCAGCAGCAUGAAGAUCAAAGUCACGUAGCCAGAGAGAAAUUUGCCCUGGGCCUAAUAUUCAUGAAGCCUUUCCAAUUCAGACUCGGUAUUAUUGCCAAGUCGGUGUGUUUGGGAGAAAUCAGAAGCCAACACACUAGAAAAGUUGCAAGAGAUUCCUAGGGGAACCCACAAAUUCAGUUCCUUGCCAGAAACCUGCUCCUCCAGAUGAAUCUAGUGCAUCAGAUGGGCUCAGAAGCACAGGUGGCGCAGGCAGACCUCUACUGAGAAGAACAACAGUGGAAGGCAGAUGAAACUCACAUUUUGGAGUCUGAGAGCCAUGCGGGCCCACCCCAGUUACGUCUACCCCUGGUCGGUGACCAGAGAAUCCUUUAGCAGCAACAGCAGUGAUGUUUAUUUCACUGGUAUGUAUAAAGCGACUGAUUGAAAACAAGCUGUAUGCCCAACAACUUGGAACUGGUUAAAUGAUUUUUGGUUCAGCCGCACAGUGGAAUAUCAUGCGGCCAUUAAGAAUAAAUAAAAAAUCCUAUACUUUCCAUGUUCAACUUUAGACUGCAAACAACUGAAAAAACACCUUCAUAAUUAGGCUUCCUCAGAUUAGAACGUGAAGUCAAAUCAACGUGUGUCAGAAAGUUAACAACAGCUAACUGUUUGUUGUGGUGUUCUGAGUAACUUGUAUUAUUUUUCAGUUUUUUUCCCAUUCCUAAUGUGCAAAUGUACUAUUUUUAUUGUAAAAAAAAAUACAUGUUUGUAAAGAGCAAUAACAUAAAUCUCUGCAUAGGCAAAUUGAAAGGAAAUCAGACAAAAUGAUACCUUUUGGUAGUGGAAUUCUAAAUCAUUUUUUUCUUCAUUAGAGUUUCUGAAUUUUCUGCAUUUGAUAUGUUUACCUUUAUAAAGGGUCAAUCAUAUUUAAGAUGAUUUUUUAAAAGACAAGUGGACAGGGAAAGAGAGGUCUGCUGUUGCAAAACCAAAGCUGGAGGCUCUCCGAAGCCCACUUAUGUUAGUCAAUUGAUAUUUCAUGAAACUCUAGAAUGUGCAAAUCACUUUCCACGGGGAUUGGGGGGGUGAGAAAUACAGAGAUGAAGGAGAUGCAAACACUUUAAUCAAAGAAAUCCGUCUGGUUGGGAAGAGAAGGUUCUGCAUUAUAUAAGUUGCAAGGUCUUAUCCAAGAGGUUAGUCUGUCAAGAGUAAUAGCAAUAAUUACACAACAAUAUGUCAGAGAGGCUGGGAGCUCCAGCUUCAAAGCCACCUUGCCUGGGGAGAAACUUAACCAUAUUGGGCCUGAGCCUCAGUUACCUACCUCUUCUGUAAAUGUAAACUACCUCUUGGGGUCCUUGUGAGGAUUAAAUGAAACUUGAGCCUAAAGGGGCUGAGCUAGGUGCUUUGCAAAUAACCCAACCUUAGCAUGAGGCACGUUAUCAUCAUUACGGCUGUGGUGUUUGUGGUCACCUAUCUGCAAGUCACGCUUUCAUAGAUAUGGCUGAGCUGGGAUUUGAACCCACAUUGAUCUAAUUCCAAAGCCAAUGAUUCCACCCCAACCAGACACUGCAUUUACUCUCUAUGCCUAACUGAAAUUUGUUCUAAACCUCACCCUAAGGUCUUGCCAGAAAGAAAAGCUAAAUUUUCAUUAAAAGAUGAAAGGAGAAAUGAAUCUGUUUCAAAGGACAUGAGAGGAAGAAGGAAAUAUCCCUUCAUGAAGGAUUUUGCAACUUUGUCCAUGCUUCUGCAGGGUGUAAAAGUAAAAAUCCUAUACUUCCCAUAUUCAACGUUAGAUUUUAAACAACUGAACAAGCACUUUCACAAUUAGCCUUCCUCAGAUUGGAAUGCGAAGUCAAGCCAACGUGUACCUCUUACUGCAGAAGAUUUCUGCACUGUGAAUGUGAUAGGAUUUGCCUCCUUAACCAGAGGGUGCUGGUUUUUCCUGGCUGGAGGGUAGAAGGUCAUGAAUAGAGGACAAAGCACAGGGAAGGGGCAGCAUGUCGGGAAGAGCCCCAAGGAUCUCAGUAUGAAAAUAAAGAGGUGUGAGCCAACUGCCCAUAGGUUUGGGCUAUGAGUCUGGGGAAACUGUUUCAAAAUCAAUGGAGGCCCAAAGGCAGAGGGAAAAUUCUGUGUAUGGACUUCCAUGUCAUUCAGAAAUGUUAACUCCUUGAAAAGAGUUAAUAUAUUUUUUUCUUUUUUAAACAUUUCAAUAGGUUUUUGGGGAACAGGUGGUGUUUGGUUCCGUGGGUAAGUUCUUUAGUGGUGAUUUCUGAGAUUUUGGUGCACCCAUCACCUGAGCAGUGUACAUUCUACCCAUUGUGUAGUCUUUUAUCUUUCACUCCCCUCCCACUUAGAAUAAUGUUCUCCAAUUCCAUCCAGGUUGCUGCGAAGGACAUUAUUUCAUUCCUUUUUAUGGCUGAGUUGCAUUCCAUGGUGUAUAUAUAUAUACCACAAUGUCUGUAUCCACUCAUUGAUUGAUGGGUAUGCAGGCUGGUUCCAUACUUUUCCAAUUGCGAAUUGUGCUGCUAUAAACAUCCAUGAGCAAGUAUCUUUUUGGUAUAAUGAUAUGUUUUCCUCUGAGUGGAUACCCAGUAGUGGGAUUGCUGGAUCAAAUGGUAGUUCUACUUUUAGCUCCUUAAGUAAUCUCCACACUGUUUUUCAUAGUGGUGGUACUAGUUUACAUUUCCACCGGCAAUGUAAAAGUGUUUCUUCCUGUCCCUCUGGUCAUCUGUUUUUUUAAGGGAUCUACCUAAACUCAACCAUAACCCAUUCCAUCCACCUCAUCUUGCCUCAAGCUAAGAAAUAGGAGUGCAGAGAAGAAAACAGUACAGAUAAGAAUGCUAGAAGGUUGUGUGUUUGAAUAAGAAGGAACAUGGAUCAGGUUUCAAGUACAGUACCUGAGGCAGGUAUGAGGUAGUAGCUAAUGGGGUGAGGUAGGCAGAAAAGGCUUCUAAAGAAGCAGGUACUUGAGUUGGGUCUUCAAGGCCAUAGUGAGUGGUUUCCCGGUGGAUCUGAGAAAGGAAGGUGAGUUUAGAGAAAGGGAAGAGCCCGCAGUGAGGCAUGAAAAUGUACACUGUGCCUUCAGCGAGCUUGGUGGGUGGCAAUGUCUGGAUCCAAGUGCGUGUGGAGGAGACUUUGCACAAUAAGGCCACUAGGCAGGUAGGACGGCCCCCAGAGGGUUUUGGCUGACAAGCUGAGGGACAUGCUAUAAGGGUAGGGGCCAGGGGAAGAGAUGGCUCCCUGGCAGUGGGUCCCCUGUGUGCUCGGCAGCUCAUGGAUAACAGAGGAUAACAGGCCUGUACCUCCAUAUUGCCCAACAUGUUAUCACAUCUUCAGUUUGGAGAGAAGAAUUAAAUUCGUCUAAGUUUAUAAUUUACCAGAUGACUUUGGAUAAGCACAUAUUUGGAACCUCAGAUAAUUCAUCCAUUCAUUUGCUCAUUCAGAACAGUUCUUGCGCAUCACUUUAUAUUCAGUGCUGCUGAAGUUUCUUUGGGGGCUACACAGGUUAGUAAGGCUUGGUUUUCAUCUCAGGAACCUUAUAGCCAGAAUGAGGGAGAGGUGAGUACUAACUCCACAGUGUUAUCCCAGUCGCUACUCAUUUCCCUUACCACCACGCCUUCAAACACUUCAGUGUACUUUCAGCUCUCAGGAAAAAUGCAAACUUUCAUCUGGGCCUAAGAAUCUCUAUAUGAACUACCCCUGCUCACCUCCGGAGAGGCAUCCCCUUCCACCACCCUCCCCUCCUUCUUCUCUAUCCUCAUUGCUCCUUUCAAUGGUCCUGACAGGAUCCCUUUCAGCCACAGGCCCUUAGCAAAUGCUGCUCUCACGGCCCAAGUCAUCUUCCCUGGUUCAUGCCUACUUCGGAUUAAAGUUACCCCUCCGGAGAGUGUUCCCGAUCAAUCUGAAUUGACCAAGUCCUUAUUACACACUCUCAAACUCCAUGAGAUGUCCUUCAUAGCUCUCAUCCCAGUUAUAAUUAGUUUGCAUUUAUUUACACAAUGGCUGUAUUAAUUUCUGUAUUCUCCACCAGAAUGAGAGCUUCAUGAGAGCCAGGAUGUGUGUUUUCUCAAAAUCUGCUUUAUUGUGGUCUAAUUUGUGUAUAAUAAACACACCCAUGUUAGGUGUACCCA
rnacentral:lncRNA from 1 species